GUAGGAGCAAGGUACGAUGAUUUGUCCAUAUUCUUGUCAGUUUAUUUAUUGGGGAUAUAUUAAUCAUUCUCCAUCAUAUUUGAAUAGGAUUUUUCUGCCAUCAACAUCGGAGGUUUAUGGUGAUCCUCUUGUGCAUCCCCUGACUGAGGAAAACUGGUGCAAUGCCUCUUAGGCACUUACACUUACCACUUAUCUUGCAUAAUUAGCUCAAUAUAUUGGAGUUAGGGGGGUUGUAAUGAUGAGGGAAAAGGAGUACCUGAACUUUGAUGUUUGAUUAUCAUAGGCAGCAUGGAAUUGGUAAUUGCUCCCCUCCUUACAUUGCAUAUAUAUCAGCUCAUAUGAUUUUAAACACCUCAAAUUGGUAUAUUAGCAUCCAAGUUCCUAACUAUAUAACUCGACAGAAAAUACGGACACUAAGAAUCAUCAACACUUACGGACCCCAGAUGAUAUAUCCAUGACGGUCAUGUUGUCAGCAAUUUCUUAGCUCAAGCAAUACAGUAAUAUUUGAGUCAUUCUCUCCAUAUUACACAAGGAACACCAGGCCACAUAUAUGUGACAAUUGAAAAUUAAGCUUGAUAAUCAUAAAGCUGAAAAUACCGUCUCAUGUACC